UCUGAAUCUGCGUACGGCUCCGCAAACCAGUUGUAAACUAUAGCAAGCAUGCUCGGGAUUUGGCCCUCACGGGUUGGGUUUCGGGUGAUAAGGAUAACCCUGGUAAUUCUGAGGCUAAUACUAGAACGCAAAAACUUGACUGACCGGUUUUACUGGGAGGUUGGGGGGCGUGCAAGUGGGUUUCGCAUAGGAUAACCGGGAAGGGGUGCACGUUUGGACCGCGAUAAAGACAGACUGGUUUCGGCCGGCCUGAGCGGCACUUGCGUUGUGCUUCUGACCUAUCAACUAGAUGGCAGCGUAACGGACAUGCUAUGGU
rnacentral:rRNA from 1 species